rnacentral:misc_RNA from 1 species
UACGUACUGUGCGAACGUUAUUCGGAAUCACUGGGCUUAAAGGGUGCGUAGGCGGCUAUUGAAGUCAGACGUGAAAUCUAUCGGCUCAACCGGUAGGCUGCGUUUGAAACUCGAUGGCUUGAGUGAGCUAGGGGUAAGUGGAACAGCCAGUGGAGCGGUGAAAUGUGUUGAGAUUGGCUGGAACGCCGGUGGCGAAAGCGACUUACUGGGGCUUUACUGACGCUGAGGCACGAAAGCUAGGGUAGCGAACGGG